GCUCUCAGAGGCGAUGAAGGACGUGAUAAGCUGCGAUAAGCCGCGGGGAUCAGCAAAUAUGAAUUGAUCCGCGGAUUUCCGAAUGGGAAAACCUAACUAUUUGAAGAAUAGUUGCAUAAAAGCGCGAACCUGCUGAACUGAAACAUCUAAGUAAGCAGAGGAAGAGAAAACAACAGUGAUUUCCUGAGUAGUGGCGAGCGAA
rnacentral:rRNA from 1 species